UGCAGUCGAACGGGGUCGGAACUUCGGUUCCGGCUUACGUGGCGCACGGGUGAGUAACACGUGGGAAUCUGCCCAUCUAUGGGGAAUAACUGCGGGAAACUGCAGCUAAUACCGCAUACGCCCUUCGGGGGAAAGGCUUCGGCCGUAGAUGGAUGAGCCCGCGUCCGAUUAGCUAGUUGGUGGGGUAAAAGCCUACCAAGGCGACGAUCGGUAGCUGGUCUGAGAGGAUGAUCAGCCACACUGGGACUGAGACACGGCCCAGACUCCUACAGGAGGCAGCAGUGGGGAAUAUUGGACAAUGGGCGAAAGCCUGAUCCAGCAAUGCCGCGUGAGUGAUGAAGGUCUUCGGAUUGUAAAGCUCUUUCGACGGGGAAGAUAAUGACGGUACCCGUAGAAGAAGCCCCGGCUAACUUCGUGCCAGCAGCCGCGGUAAUACGAAGGGGGCUAGCGUUGUUCGGAUUUACUGGGCGUAAAGCGUGCGUAGGCGGCUUGUCAAGUCAGAAGUGAAAGCCCGGGGCUCAACUCCGGAACUGCUUUUGAGACUGGCAGGCUUGAGUUCGGGAGAGGGUAGUGGAAUUCCCAGUGUAGAGGUGAAAUUCGUAGAUAUUGGGAAGAACACCGGUGGC
rnacentral:rRNA from 1 species